GAUGAAGAACGUAGCGAAAUGCGAUAAGUAGUGUGAAUUGCAGAAUUCAGUGAAUCAUCGAAUCUUUGAACGCACAUUGCGCCCCUUGGUAUUCCAUGGGGCAUGCCUGUUCGAGCGCCAUUUGUACCCUCAAGCUUUGCUUGGUGUUGGGCGUCUUGUCGUAUUACGACUCGCCUUAAAUACAUUGGCAGCCGGCACUUUGGCCUAGGAGCGCAGCACAUUUUGCGAUCGUAGCCCGUUGUACUGGCGUCCAUCAAGAACAUUUACCACGUUUGACCUCGGAUCAGGUAGGGAUACCCGCUGAACUUAAGCAUAUCAAUAAGCGGAGGA
rnacentral:misc_RNA from 1 species